rnacentral:rRNA from 1 species
UACGUACGAGGCGAGCGUUAUCCGGAAUUACUGGGCGUAAAGCGCACGUAGGCGGCUUUGUAAGUUAGAGGUGAAAGCCCGGGGCUCAACUCCGGAAUUGCCUUUAAGACUGCAUCGCUAGAAUUGUGGAGAGGUAAGUGGAAUUCCGAGUGUAGAGGUGAAAUUCGUAGAUAUUCGGAAGAACACCAGUGGCGAAGGCGACUUACUGGACACAUAUUGACGCUGAGGUGCGAAAGCGUGGGGAGCAAACAGG